AGAUGGGCUGAGCAGCAGAGUGGACACAACAGAGACAAGAGCAUAGUAAACUUGAAGACAGGCCAAUGGAAAAUAUCCAAACUAAAGUUCAGAAAGAUAAAAGAACAGAAAGAACAAUGUCAACUGCAAAGGUCUUGUUUAACGGCUUCCCAGAAUAUAAUAUUUAGCCAAGAAGAUUAUUCCUUUAAUCUUAGAAUGGUUGUUGCCUAAAAUAAAAGGGAAUUUGUGUAUUUAAACUAUAAAUAAACUCACUUCAUAAAUCCUAUUGUAGGUGUUCCUAUUAGACGCCUGGAUCUAGUUUUGCACACUGAUUAUAAAGUAAAGCUUCAAGCAGGUUUGAAUCUAAAAGCCACAUCAUUUGACAACUCUGAAGUUGUUUUCAUAUUUGAAAAAUGGAGGUGGUAGUACAUGUCUCACAGUUUUAGGAUGAGGAUGAAGUGCCAUAAGCCCUUAGCAUAAUGCCUGGUUCCUUGUGGAUAACACUGAAUAUUCUAGAAGAACUUUGCAGUUAUCGCUGGAUAGCUCAACAGAGUAAACAUCUGUUUUUAUGAAGUUUUUCUUGGGCGGUACGUCCGCCUUGUCAGAAGAGUCCUCAGGGGAGGAUGAGGCAGGGAACUCGCAUCGCAUAAAAUGAGGUUUUAAAUGAGAUAAUGGGUGUGAAGCUCUCCAUAAAGCCCUUACAAAUGGUGGCUUUUCCUACUAUGGCAGGAACCUCAGUUUACCAACAACUCAGGUGACUUUGGGGCUGUUCGUAUUUAUGGCCAACCAGGAAAUCAAUGAAGAGAAAUAAAUCUCCAAAUGUCUUUAGACUAAGGACUUUUUACGCCUUACACACUGUCUUCCAAAGAAGCCUUGCGAGUUGCUCUGGCUGAAAAUGCUUUGGCUGCUGCAACCGUUUCUCUCCUCUCAGGCCAUUGCUUUGUUUUCCUCACCUAACAACCAGGUUCCUCUGACAUCUUGUAAGUUGCUCUGCUCCCAAACCAGCCCCCACAUUCGGGGGGCGGGGGGGGGGAUGACAUCUGAGAGGCUGGACUCUUCACCCAGGUGACCUGAGCUCCUCCCUGCGACUGUUUGAGGAUCUCCCUUGGGCUAUAGGGGCUGCCUUGCACACUAAGCUUGCCAGAAGUGCCCGGGAGUUAAUGUGUCUCUCCUCUGAGCCCGGGGCUACUGACCAGUGCGGGGGUCUGAGGAGGGACCCACUCCGAGGCAAGGAAUGUUCCUGGGUUUGUGUUUUGAUUUCCUACUCAGUUGAAGAUCUGCAACACCAAGACAAAGGUAUUUGCCAAACAAGUUUUGAAAACCCAGUGUCUCUAGAACUGUUGGCUACACACUGGCUACAACUGUAAUUUUCUCACUCAUCAUUUCUGUCCACGUCUGUGUCCAGAACACUGUGCCCAGUAGCUGCAGAGUACACUUUUUGUUUAAGAACACA